CCUUCUCUCUCAAACUCGAUUGAAAUCUUGGCGGAAGAUGAGGAGUCGACUCUGUCUUUCUCGUUUUGUACGUUCUCGUCACACGGAGGAGAGCUCUAUCUUCUACUUUUGUCGCUGCCGUAGCAUCUUCACCGCCGAUUUCAUCGCUGCCGUAGUCCCCACACCACCGAUAAUUCCUAGGACACGAAGAGGAUUUGAAUCGGGUAGAUGUUUUACGGAACAUUUAGUGUCGAGAAGUGGCGCUAAAUAUAUCAUGGUGUCCUCUAAAUAUAUCAGCAUAUUACAUUGGAGGUUGGGGAAAUUAUUCCAAUGAAAAAAUAUGAAAAUGGAUUGGGUUCUUUACGUCCCACUUGAACAAAGGGAUAGACAAGUUGAUAGAAAGAACCUUCUAGGUCCGCUCUCAAGCAUUUGUCGGAGGAUUGUGCUAAAAAAUUCAACUAUUGCCUUCCUUACAUCAGAACCUUUAAGGUAGAUGAAUCUAAGCAGAGCACUGUGGUUCAAAUAAGGUUCCCUUUUGAGCCACCAGAUUUUCUUUUAUACCAUAACAGAGACUACUCCUCGGAGGGAUAAUCGUAAAGCCCUUAAGUGAUCACAUCACUAAAGCAUUAGCAAAACAUUGAAGUUGAGAGUACAACACGCACACACACACGUCCAUGUUCUCAGAUGUGAACAAAAGCAACUUCAAGCAAGAUGUGCUCAGAGGUUAAUUAACAACAUCAAGACUGUGAAAAAGAUUUUGGACAUGAAGGUGCAGAAGUCAUACUAUUGAUGAGGCCUAACGAUAAGCUCAUGAUCUGAAGCAAGAUAAUGUUAGGUAGCUUAAGUUGAAAUUUAUGGUUGUGUGACACAAAUAAAGUUCUUUCGGUUUGGUUUUGAAACUAAUGUAGUCAAACUAGAGUUCUUAUUUAAUUGUAUUAUUUUUCAUUAAUUCAAACUGGAUUGAAAUU